rnacentral:lncRNA from 1 species
CUUAACCCUGUCCCAGAGCGGCCUGGACACGGCCCGGCUCGUCGGGGCGGCGCCCGCGCCUGGGAGCCUCGGGAACAGUUCAGUUGUCUACAUUAACACUGCUGAUGUCAGCACUAAGGCAUCCUUGCUCUUUGUACCCAAGGGCUGUGAUGUCAGCCCACUGGGACCUCCCCUGAGCCUGGCGUCUUGGGCUUUGCUGGAGCUUAGGCACACAGGCGGCAUCCACGACUGAUCCCAGCUAUUCGGACUCCAGAGCCCCUCCCCAAAUACACCUCUACAGAGAUGUCAGAACGGCUGCGAUACAAAAAGCUGACAAUACGAAUUGCUGGCAAGGAUGCAGAGUAACACACUCCCGUUCGCUGUUGGGGAGGAAAAUGGAGAAAUUGUGGGACAUCCACACAAUGGAACAAUAUUCAGUGACAGAAAAGAAGAAGCCAUGAAGCCCCACAAAAAUGUGGAUGAGUUUAAACACAUAUUGCUAGCCGAAAGAAGUCAGUCUGAAACUCCCACAGUUCAUUUUUAUGAUAUUCUGGAAAGGUUUCUAUGAAAUUGUUGACCACAUAGAAAACUUAAGUGGAUGUACAUUAUAUGAAGAAGAAAUUUGCUUCAAGUUCAGGUCUCAUCAUUCUCACGAGCCAUCUGUGAACUCUACUAUCCACAAUAAUUAACUGAGCCGAAAAAUCUCCCUCUCUUCUCUCCUCACAUCUCAGCAUCUAAUUAAAAUCAUAUUAUUUUAACUUUGUGUUAAUACCUAUGAAGCAAUUAGCAAACAUUUUUAUUUUCAUGUAUUUUCUUCCUUCUCCUCCAAUUUUUGAUAGUUCUGUUAUAUGUAUGACAUCAAAGAAUAUACGUUUACCAUAAUUUUCUCAUCAGCAU